GAAAUGCGAUAAGUAAUGUGAAUUGCAGAAUUCCGUGAAUCAUCGAAUCUUUGAACGCACAUUGCACCCUCUGGCAUUCCGGGGGGCAUGCCUGUCCGAGCGUCAUUACGCACCCUCAAGCCCGGCUUGUGUGAUGGGCCCCGGCGUCUCGUUCGCGAGACGGGCCCGAAAGUCAGCGGCGGCGUCGACCCGAUGAGCCCGAGCGUAUGGGGACUUCUGUCACACGUUCGCGGUGCGGACCGGCGCCUGCUUGACUUUUCUGAUUAUCCAGGUUGACCUCGGAUCAGGUAGGGAUACCCGCUGAACUUAAGC
rnacentral:misc_RNA from 1 species